rnacentral:rRNA from 1 species
GACGAACGCUGGCGGCGUGCCUAAUACAUGCCAGUCGAACGAACAGACGAGGAGCUUGCUCCUCCGACGUUAGCGGCGGACGGGUGAGUAACACGUGGAUAACCUACCUAUAAGACAGGGAUCAUUUUGCGAAACCGGAGCUACUACCGGAUGAUAUAUUGAACCUCAUUGUUCAAUAGUGAAAGUCGGUUUUUCUUUCACUUAUAGAUGGAUCCGGGCCGCAUCAGCUAGUUGGUAAGGUAACGGCUUACCAAGGCAAGGAUGCGUAGCCGACCUGAGAGGGACGACGGCCACACUGGAACAGAGACACGGUCCAGACUCUUACAGGAGGAAGCAGUAGGGAAUCUUCCGCAAGGGGCGAGAGCCUGACGGAGCAACGCCGCGUGAGUGAUGAAGGUCUUCGGAUCGUAAAGCUAUGUUAGUAGGGAAGAAGAAAUGUGUAAGUAACUAGGCACGUCUUGACGGUACCUAAUGAGAAAGCCACGGCUAACUACGUG